CGCCUGGGGCGUGGCCUACGGGGCCGGCCCGGGGCCGUCUUACGUAGCCUGAGAGGAGGCGGUGGGCUCCUGGUCCAGCGAGGGGCCUUCGGCGGACGAGGGUUGAGAAAAUUGAUUCCAGGCAGGUCCACUGUGUGCAGCUUGCAAGUUCUUCCCUUUGGGUUUUCUCCUGGAUUGUUUUCCUCCAACAGCCCAAAGACAUGCAGCUCAGGGACCCACAACCCUCUCUUGGGCACCUGCAGGAUCUGGCGCUGUUCCGGCGAGGCCCGUUGCAGACACUGUACCACCAGCCAGCUGCAUUUGUUGUCCUGGAUGUCGGUGCCAAUCUUGCCCGUCACACUGGAGUCCCCAAAG